GUCACACGCCUUAGGCCUCCGGAUUGUAUGACUCCUCAUCUCACGAUCCUCGAAAUAGACCACCUCCGACGACCUAUGAAACAUAACAUGAUGCCUUUCAGCACCCGACAUAUGGUGGCCGUAGAUGAAUCUGGGACUUCCAAGACUCCACUCGCCAUAUGCUAUCAAAUAAUUGCUGUAAGGAGAGAGGUCGGGGUGAGAGAC
rnacentral:lncRNA from 1 species